rnacentral:tRNA from 1 species
GUAGUGUAGCGGUUAUCACGUCGCCCUGUCACGGCGAAGAUCGCGGGUUCGAUUCUCGUCACCC